rnacentral:tRNA from 1 species
GGAGGAGUGACCGAGCGGCUCAAGGUAAAGGUUUGCUAAACCUUGGCCCCGGAAGGGGCCUCGUGGGUUCGAAUCCCACCUCCUCCGCCA